rnacentral:tRNA from 1 species
GGAGAGAUAGCUCAGUGGUUUAGAGCACUGGUUGCCUGCUCCUCCAGAGGUCCUGAGUUCAAUUCCCAGCAUUCACA